UCCGGUGGAUCUUCGGGUCCACCAG
rnacentral:snRNA from 1 species